rnacentral:tRNA from 4 species
GGGGCCGUAGCUCAGUUGGGAGAGCGCCUGCCUUGCACGCAGGAGGUCAGGAGUUCGAUUCUCCUCGGCUCCACCA